rnacentral:rRNA from 1 species
AGUGAACGCUGGCGGUAGGCCUAACACAUGCAAGUCGAACGGCAGCACAGUAAGAGCUUGCUCUUACGGGUGGCGAGUGGCGGACGGGUGAGGAAUACAUCGGAAUCUACUUUUUCGUGGGGGAUAACGUAGGGAAACUUACGCUAAUACCGCAUACGACCUACGGGUGAAAGCAUGGGAUCUUCGGACCUUGCGCGAUUGAAUGAGCCGAUGUCGGAUUAGCUAGUUGGCGGGGUAAAGGCCCACCAGGGCGACGAUCCGUAGCUGGUCUGAGAGGAUGAUCAGCCACACUGGAACUGAGACACGGUCCAGACUCCUACGGGGGGCAGCAGUGGGGAAUAUUGGACAAUGGGCGCAAGCCUGAUCCAGCCAUACCGCGUGGGUGAAGAAGGCCUUCGGGUUGUAAAGCCCUUUUGUUGGGAAAGAAAAGCAGCAGGUUAAUACCCCGCUGUUCUGACGGUACCCAAAGAAUAAGCACCGGCUAACUUCGUG